AUAAAAGCAGAGCGGCAGACCGCAUCAGGGUCACUUCACAGCUCGGUCCUGGUCUCAGCUGGAUCCCUGAGGAAGAUCAACAAGAGACUCUGAGGCUCCACAGCAGGUUCAACACAUCAUGGCAACCCGUCAGUGCACCGUUGAGUUUGUGAAUAAUAGCUCACCCUGAUUAACCCGAAUGUGUUCACUUACAGUGGAUCCUGUGGGCAUCCUCUGCCACCAAUCCUUCGUUAUCUUCAAUCUGGCAGCGCUCUGUUUGUCAAGACACAGCGUGUGGAGCUGUUGGAGUCCUCACUUAUGAUCUGCAGAAUGAAUCUACAAAGAAAUGUGAUGGAAAAAUGGCCGUCAUGUACUCUGUUCCUUAUGACUUCAACCUGUACUCUAACUGGUUUGCAGUGGGAGUCUUUUAUGAGAAGAGAGAGUGUGACGACAGACAUUAUGAAGAGAUGUAUUACAAGGAAGGGAAAGAGUUUAAAAGAGGUAAAGCUAAAGAAUAUCUGACUUACCCAGGUGAAGCUGUUACCAUCAAAGCCACCAUGUCAGACACUUACACACCUGUCAUUAAUAUACAGGUGUCUUCAAGUUCUCACAAGUGUCAUUAAUCCCAGUUGGCUCACUAAGACAGAAAGUCUGGUUCUGUUUCAUCAGGUCACUUUUCAUUCUGUAUGUUAGUUUCUCUUUUUAUAUCUGCUGUCUGCUUAGAUGCUGAACUGUGUUUCUUUGUUCUGCUGCUGACCGUGUGUGAUGACAAUAAAGCUGAAUAAGAUCUUCUAAAUUUCAGUGUGAUAAAACUGAAAACAUUUAGAAACAUGCACAAAGACUGGGCUGAAAAGUAAAAUAGCAAGCAGAAACAGUUGGUUAAAUGUUUCUUUCUGUAACACGAGUGAAGUUCAGACACAAUGCGGCCGUUCUGAUUAACUAAACAGAAACUACUCUAAAUUUA